AGUGAACGCUGGCGGUAGGCCUAACACAUGCAAGUCGAACGGCAGCACAGUAAGAGCUUGCUCUUACGGGUGGCGAGUGGCGGACGGGUGAGGAAUACAUCGGAAUCUACUUUUUCGUGGGGGUUAACGUAGGGAAACUUACGCUAAUACCGCAUACGACCUACGGGUGAAAGCAGGGGAUCUUCGGACCUUGCGCGAUUGAAUGAGCCGAUGUCGGAGUUGCUAGUUGGCGGGGUAAAGGCCCACCAAGGCGACGAUCCGUAGCUGGUCUGAGAGGAGGAUCGGCCACCCUGGAACGGGAACACGGUCCAGGGUCCUACGGGAGGCAGCAGAGGGGAAUAUUGGACAAUGGGGGGAAGCCUGAUCCAGCCAUACCACGUGGGUGAAGAAGGCCUUCGGGUUGUAAAGCCCUUUUGUUGGGAAAGAAAAGCAGCAGGUUAAUACCACGCUGUUGUGACGGUACCCAAAGAAUAAGCACCGGCUAACUUCGUG
rnacentral:rRNA from 1 species